AUUCCAGCUCCAAUAGCGUAUAUUUAAGUUGCUGCAGUUAAAAAGCUCGUAGUUGGAUUUCGGGUGGGAAUGGCCGGUCCGCCGUUUCGGUGUGCACUUGCUAGUCCCACCUUGCUGCCGGGGACGUGCUCUUGGGUUUCGGCUCGGGACACGGAGUCGGCGAGGUUACUUUGAGUAAAUUAGAGUGUUCAAAGCAGGCCUACGCUCUGAAUACAUUAGCAUGGAAUAACACGAUAGGACUCUGGCCUAUCUUGUUGGUCUGUAGGACCGGAGUAAUGAUUAAGAGGGACAGUCGGGGGCAUUCGUAUUUCAUUGUCAGAGGUGAAAUUCUUGGAUUUAUGAAAGACGAACUACUGCGAAAGCAUUUACCAAGGAUGUUUUCAUUG
rnacentral:rRNA from 1 species